CGCUCGACAUCAGAGUUUGAUCCUGGCUCAGGAUGAACGCUAGCUACAGGCUUAACACAUGCAAGUCGAGGGGCAGCGGGGAUGAAGCUUGCUUUAUCUGCCGGCGACCGGCGCACGGGUGCGUAACGCGUAUCGAACCUACCGCAUACUCAGGGAUAGCCUUGCGAAAGUAAGAUUAAUACCUGAUGUUAUUAUGUCCUUGCAUGGGGAUGUAAUUAAAGAUUUAUUGGUAUGCGAUGGCGAUGCGUCUGAUUAGGUAGUAGGCGGGGUAACGGCCCACCAAGGCGACGAUCAGUAGCCGGCUUGAGAGAGUGAACGGCCACACUGGAACUGAGACACGGUCCAG
rnacentral:rRNA from 1 species